CCUACGGGAGGCAGCAGUGGGGAAUAUUGGGCAAUGGGCGCAAGCCUGACCCAGCAACGCCGCGUGAAGGAAGAAGGCUUUCGGGUUGUAAACUUCUUUUCUCAGGGACGAAGCAAGUGACGGUACCUGCGGAAUAAGCCACGGCUAACUACGUGCAAGCAGCCGCGGUAAUACGUAGGUGGCAAGCGUUAUCCGAAUUUACUGGGUGUAAGGGGCGGGUAUGCGGGACUGCAAUUCGGAUGUGAAAACAACGGGCUCAACCGGUGGCUGGCAUUUGCAACUGUAGUUCUUGAGUACUGGAGAGGCAGACGGAAUUCCUAGGGUAGCGGUGAAAUGCGUAGAUAUUGGGAGGAACACCAGUGGCGAAGGCGGUCUGCUGGACAGCAACUGACGCUGGGGCGCGAAAGCGUGGGGAGCAAACAGGAUUAGAUACCCUAGUAGUC
rnacentral:rRNA from 1 species